GGACAGGUGGCCGAGUGGUUAAAGGCAGCAGACUGUAAAUCUGCCCGCGCAAGCGUACGGUGGUUCGAAUCCACCCCUGUCCACCA
rnacentral:tRNA from 4 species